rfam:Nicotiana attenuata strain TT chromosome 6, whole genome shotgun sequence.
UGAUUUGGGUUUGGAAACUUUUUCCAAUGAUAUGGUGCUGGAAGUCCAUAUACAAAGGGUCGCGAUAGGGUGAGCUAACCCCAAAAACUCGUGCUCAGUUUAGAAUGCAGGCUGCAACUCCCUUGCAUGAAACCGGAAUCGCUAGUAAUUGCCGGUCAGCCAUACAACGGUGAAUUCGUUCCCGGGCCUUGUACA